GAUUUACAGAACUGUGUGACAUCGCACACAACUGUGAUAUCACAGACCAAUGUGUAUUGCUACUGCAGUGCAUCUGAAAUGGGGGCUAGCUUCUUCCCAGAGGUCAGACGUCAUCCCUGCCCAGGGUAACUUCCAUCUAAACGUUUUCAUGUGGCAAAAUGAGUGAUGUUCAAGCAGCAGGAGAGGGUGCGGAAGGAUGAGAGUCACCAGUAAAAUCACAUGGAGCCUCAAUACAGAGAUCUCGCUGACCUUCAGCUCGGUGUGGCCCUUCUGUAAAAUUCCCUGUGCUGCUUCCUUCACAUGCUUGGAGCCAGGAACCAGAGGUACCCGCCUCAAGACUCAGUGGGACAGAGCUGGAAACAUUAGAGGAACGGGAGAGAGGGCAGCGGAGACUUGUUGGAGACCAAUGAGGAGAUGCAGUCGAAGGCAAAUACACUUGGAAAAUUGAGCUGGAAAGUGAGCCCACAGUGGGACUAGGCAGGGAGCACAGCAGGUUCCACUGAGG